UUUUCAAGCUGCAGUUUGAAAUCACACACCAGAAAUCUUUGAGGACUCUAGAAAGCAGCUGAACAUGGCCGACGAGGACUUAAAUCCAACGAGAGUGAGUCUGGAGCAGGCCCCAUCAGAGGGUGGGACUAAAAAAACAAAUAAAGCUCGCCAUCAAAAAAGCUCUGGAACAGGGACCGACUCCAAUGUGGACAUUAUUGACAUUGAAUAAGAGAGAAGCAAAAAUCACACACAGGAUGAAUAAAUCCCUCCCGUCCAACAUCUCUGUACCUCUGGUAUCAAAUCAUCCCAUGAUUUUGUUAUUUUGCUCAUUUCUGUUUGGAAAAUAUACAUAUCAACAUUGUAUGAAGAGGAAUGAACGUGCAUAAUGUAAAGACACUUAAAUGUGACAACUAAAUCUGAAAUGUUCUUUCGUGUUUGUCUUAAGUUCCCACAAUGGAAACCUUUAUCAUAUGACAAUAUUAAUGGGCACUUAUGUGUUACUAUGAGAAAAAUCCUAGACUUUUACUAGCUAAUUUCGUAUUAUUUCCUUGAGAAUAAAAUUUGAGUUCCUUAUUGUACUGAUGGCGUCACCUUAAUACCAACUUGUUAAAAUUUUUGAAAAUAAACCCAAAACACCUUUA